GUGGGGAAUAUUGGGCAAUGGGGGAAACCCUGACCCAGCAACGCCGCGUGAGGGAAGAAGGCCUUCGGGUCGUAAACCUCUGUCCCAUGGGAAGAGUAAGAGACGGUACCAUGGGAGGAAGCCCCGGCUAACUACGUGCCAGCAGCCGCGGUAAUACGUAGGGGGCGAGCGUUGUCCGGAAUGACUGGGCGUAAAGGGCGCGUAGGUGGCUUUACAAGUCCGGAGUGAAAGUCCUGCUUUCAAGGUGGGAAUGGCUUUGGAAACUGUAGGGCUUGAGUGUGGGAGAGGAUAGCGGAAUUCCCGGUGUAGCGGUGAAAUGCGUAGAGAUCGGGAGGAACACCAGUGGCGAAGGCGGCUAUCUGGACCAAGACUGACACUGAAGCGCGAAAGCGUGGGUAGCAAACAGGAUUAGAAACCCUAGUAGUCC
rnacentral:rRNA from 1 species